AGGCCAUGGUGUGGGCAAACUCGUUGGAGUUCUUUAUAGCGAUCCCAUGCCUCAUAUAGGGAUUCAUUUUCAUGCUGAGUAAAUGAGGUUAUUUCUUUGAUAAGCCU
rnacentral:snoRNA from 1 species